GCGUCAUGUUGUGGAAGCUGCCAUCUUGCCCCACCAUCAUACACUGGCUGAGAUGGGCAUCGCUGCGCCGCCUUUUCAUGUUUUAUGCAUUACGCUGACGGAGGGAUGGAUGGACCAUGAAUGCUUUCUCAUCCUUCUUGUCAUGCACCAUGGAAGUGUCUGAGGGGCUUUUCCACUUGGAAUGGGGAUACUGUGUCCACACUUCAGAGGUGGAGUUUCCAGCAUCUCACCUGGGCCUCAUCUGCAAACAAUCAGCAGGAGGGCUUCUUAAACCAGCGCUGCCUGCUACUCCUCGCCAGUUUGUUCUGCCAUCUCCAGUGGUCUCCUCUGCCAACAUACUCAUCCUACCCUCAAACUCCCUUACCCGUCCAGCAACUUCUUCUCCCUCUGUUGCAGAAUUCCCGUUGGAU